AGGGCAUGGCUGGUUAGCGACCUGCGGAAAGGAUAACCGCUGAAAGCAUCUAAGCGGGAAGCCUGUUCCGAGAUGAGAUCUCCCACCGGGUUAACCGGGUAAGGCCCGUGGCAGACUACCACGUAGAUAGGCCGGAAGUGUAAGCGCGGCAACGCGUUCAGCUGACCGGUACUAAUCGGCCGAGGGCUUAGGUUU
rnacentral:rRNA from 1 species